ensembl:lncRNA
CCAUUUUAAGCACGACUGUCAAUGAGGAUGUCAGAAUGACACAUUUGAUUAUGUAAAAUCAUCCCCAGCCAUGUAUAUGGUACAGACUGACAUAAAGGAGCUGGUUUUCCCCACGAUCACACUGGUCAUAUCGCACAUCUGGCUUCAGCCAAUCAGGAUAUUUCUGUUGAUGAUUUUGCACCAUGAUAAGCAAGCCUGGACAUGUUUGAGAACAUGAUGUCAAAUAUAGGUAUGUAUCUCACUUUCAGUCGCACUUUCUCACUCUCUUCUCCCUCAUUUCCUUCAGCUCUCUCUCUCUCCUCGUGUCCUCUGUGUGAUGUAAUGUAAAGCAGAAAUGGUGUCGACUCUUUGACCUUGCCUUAAAUCUUCAGACUGAGAACGAGAGAGGUUGUAAAAAAUGUUGUAUUACCUCACUCUCCUCUACUGCUCUCUUUCUCUCUGUAAUUGUAGGAGGGGUUGAAAAGUGUGCGGUGUAAAUCUUAUCGUGUUCAACCAGGCCUGUUUGUUCUGACUGACAUCAUGUCUUAACCCCAGAUGGCUCCACUUCAACCAAGUUCCUCCUCACGCACCUCCUGAGGAGCAACACACACACAGUGCCGCAGUCUUUGUCUGACUGCUGUGAAAGUCCGAUGGCUCAGGAAUACUAAUCCCACUCGCAUGUCAUUUGGACGGACCAGAGGAGCAGCUAAUGGGGCAGGCGAGAUGAGGAGGAGACACUGUCGAUGGCUGUGUGGCAGUGUGUGUGAGUGGCAGAGUCCUCCCAGCCACAGAGAUAAAGAUUAGCAAAGGCCGAGCUGAACACAGAGGUCCAUUUACUGCACAUGGCACUGCACAUCAUCCCGCUACUGCUGCCAGUGAAAAACAGGUAAUUCUUCACUACUCUUUAUUAAUAUUUAUGCAUUCAUAUCCCUCCAAAAUUGUUAGACCUCAAUUUGGAAUGCUUUUCUCUGUUUCGUUCUCCCAAUUUCAGCCACAUGACCUCCAAAACUCUGACUUUUGGUUUAGCCUUUUUCUGGCGCUGUCACAGAGACAUGAAUUUACGUGAUAUCUGACAGUUUGCAGUAUAAUUGAUAAAAAAUAAUUGUUAAUAAUAAAGUGUUUUAAAUAAUUGUUUAAUGUCAAGUCACCUUUAUUUAUAUAGCGCUUUAUACGAUGUCAAAGCAGCUUUACAGUGUCAAACAGGAAAAUAGUUUGUCAAUAAUGCAAGAGGACAAUAACAAAGUCAAUUUUUGAGUUAAGGUCAUUGAUGAUUCAGGGAUGUCAUCAUCCAGUUCAGUUAAAGCACAUUUACAUCAAAGCUCAACAAGCCUGGAAUAUCCAAGAGCAAAACAUGCAUCAGAUCACUGCAGUGACAAAACCUUCUUUGUUGCAUUAAGACCAUAAAAUGUGC